rnacentral:rRNA from 1 species
GACGAACGCUGGCGGCGUGCUUAACACAUGCAAGUCGAACGAUGACGCCCGAGCUUGCUCGGUCUGAUUAGUGGCGAACGGGUGAGUAACACGUGAGCAACCUGCCCUUCACUCUGGGAUAACCUCGGGAAAUCGGGGCUAAUACCGGAUAUGAGCUCCUGUCGCAUGGCGGGUGUUGGAAAGUUUUUCGGUGAAGGAUGGGCUCGCGGCCUAUCAGUUUGUUGGUGAGGUAGUGGCUCACCAAGGCGAUGACGGGUAGCCGGCCUGAGAGGGCGACCGGCCACACGGGGACUGAGACCCGGCCCAACCCCCUACGGGGGGAAGGGGGGGGGAAUUUUUCAAAAGGGGCGAAAGCCGGAUGCAGGGACCCCGGGUGGGGGAGGGCGGCUUUCGGGUUGUAACCCCUUUUCAGGAGGGAAGAAGCGAAAGGGAGGGUACCGGCAGAAAAAGCCCCGGCUAACUACUG